UACGUAGGGGGCUAGCGUUGUCCGGAUUUAUUGGGCGUAAAGAGCGUGUAGGCGGCCAGAUAGGUCUGCUGUGAAAACUCGAGGCUCAACCUCGAGAUGUCGGCGGAAACCACUUGGCUAGAGUCCGGAAGAGGAGAGUGGAAUUCCCGGUGUAGCGGUGAAAUGCGCAGAUAUCGGGAAGAACACCUAUGGCGAAGGCGGCUCACUGGACCGGUAUUGACGCUGAGGUGCGAAAGCGUGGGGAGCAAACAGG
rnacentral:rRNA from 1 species